UACCCGAAUGGGGAAACCCAGUGUGACUCGUCACACUAUCAUUAACUGAAUCCAUAGGUUAAUGAGGCGAACCGGGGGAACUGAAACAUCUAAGUACCCCGAGGAAAAGAAAUCAACCGAGAUUCCCCCAGUAGCGGCGAGCGAACGGGGAGGAGCCCAGAGCCUGAAUCAGCAUGUGUGUUAGUGGAAGCGUCUGGAAAGGCGCGCGAUACAGGGUGACAGCCCCGUACACAAAAGCGCAUGUGCUGUGAGCUCGAUGAGUAGGGCGGGACACGUGGUAUCCUGUCUGAAUAUGGGGGGACCAUCCUCCAAGGCUAAAUACUCCUGACUGACCGAUAGUGAACCAGUACCGUGAGGGAAAGGCGAAAAGAACCCCGGCGAGGGGAGUGAAAAAGAACCUGAAACCGUGUA
rnacentral:rRNA from 1 species